AAUCAGGAUUCAACAGAGGGAUAUUGUUUGGGAGUUCAGCAGUCUCAUCUUGCCCUAGUUACCAAUUUCCAACAACCAACAUUUUCGGCUUUGGAUCAACCACGGUGCAUCCGAAAUUGGGAUUUGGGUUUGAGGUGAGUGUCUCGAUGUGGGAUUGGUCUAUCUGACGCGAUCGACAGAUAAAGG